AACGAACGCUGGCGGCGCGCCUAAUACAUGCAAGUCGAGCGAGAAGACGUAGCAAUACGUUUGUAAAGCGGCGAACGGGUGAGGAAUACAUGGGUAACCUACCCUCGAGUGGGGAAUAACUAGCCGAAAGGUUAGCUAAUACCGCGUACGCUCCUUGGACUUCGGUUCAGGGAGGAAAGCGAUACCGUGGGUAUCGCGCUCUUGGAUGGGCUCAUGUCCUAUCAGCUUGUUGGUGAGGUAACGGCUCACCAAGGCUUCGACGGGUAGCUGGUCUGAGAGGACGAUCAGCCACACUGGCACUGCGACACGGGCCAGACUCCUACGGGAGGCAGCAGUAAGGAAUAUUGCGCAAUGGGCGAAAGCCUGACGCAGCGACGCCGCGUGGGGGAUGAAGGUCUUCGGAUUGUAAACCCCUUUCGGGAGGGAAGAUGGAAUGGGGUAACCCAUUCGGACGGUACCUCCAGAAGCAGCCACGGCUAACUUCGUGCCAGCAGCCGCAGUAACAC
rnacentral:rRNA from 1 species